AUUGAACGCUGGCGGCAUGCCUUACACAUGCAAGUCGAACGGCAGCACGGGUGCUUGCACCUGGUGGCGAGUGGCGAACGGGUGAGUAAUACAUCGGAACAUGUCCUGUAGUGGGGGAUAGCCCGGCGAAAGCCGGAUUAAUACCGCAUACGAUCUACGGAUGAAAGCGGGGGACCUUCGGGCCUCGCGCUAUAGGGUUGGCCGAUGGCUGAUUAGCUAGUUGGUGGGGUAAAGGCCUACCAAGGCGACGAUCAGUAGCUGGUCUGAGAGGACGACCAGCCACACUGGGACUGAGACACGGCCCAGACUCCUACGGGAGGCAGCAGUGGGGAAUUUUGGACAAAGGGCGAAAGCCUGAUCCAGCAAUGCCGCGUGUGUGAAGAAGGCCUUCGGGUUGUAAAGCACUUUUGUCAGGAAAGAAAUCCUUGGCCCUAAUACGGUCGGGGGAUGACGGUACCGGAAGAAUAAGCACCGGCUAACUACGUG
rnacentral:rRNA from 1 species